rnacentral:rRNA from 1 species
CCUACGGGAGGCAGCAGUGAGGAAUAUUGGUCAAUGGGCUUACGCCUGAACCAGCCAAGUCGCGUGAGGGAAGACUGCCCUAUGGGUUGUAAACCUCUUUUGUCAGGGAGCAAUUGGCGCUACGUGUAGCGUUAUCGAGAGUACCUGAAGAAAAAGCAUCGGCUAACUCCGUGCCAGCAGCCGCGGUAAUACGGAGGAUGCGAGCGUUAUCCGGAUUUAUUGGGUUUAAAGGGUGCGUAGGCGGAAUGCCAAGUCAGCGGGAAAAUCGCGGGGCUCAACCUCGCUCCGCCGUUGAAACUGGCGUUCUUGAGUGGGCGAGAAGUAUGCGGAAUGCGUGGUGUAGCGGUGAAAUGCAUAGAUAUCACGCAGAACUCCGAUUGCGAAGGCAGCAUACCGGCGCCCAACUGACGCUGAAGCACGAAAGCGUGGGUAUCGAACAGGAUUAGAUACCCGAGUAGUC